rnacentral:misc_RNA from 1 species
GAAAUGCGAUAAGUAGUGUGAAUUGCAGAAUUCAGUGAAUCAUCGAAUCUUUGAACGCACAUUGCGCCCCUUGGUAUUCCAUGGGGCAUGCCUGUUCGAGCGUCAUUUACACCCUCAAGCUCUGCUUGGUGUUGGGCGUCUGUCCUCUAGCGAACUACCGCGUGGACUCGCCUUAAAGGCAUUGGCAGCGGUCCUGCCGGGCCUCCUAAUCGCGCAGCACUGUUCGCGCUUCCUGGAGCCCGCACGGAUUCGGCGUCCAUCAAGCCCAAUCUUCUGAACUUGACCUCGGAUCAGGUAGGGAUACCCGCUGAACUUAA